CCCUUAGAUGUCCUGGGCCGCACGCGCGCUACACUGAUGCAUUCAACGAGCCUAUCCUUGACCGACAGGUCCGGGUAAUCUUUGAAUCUGCAUCGUGACGGGGAUAGAUUAUUGCAAUUAUUAAUCUUCAACGAGGAAUGCCUAGUAGGCGCAAGUCAUCAGCUUGCGUCGAUUACGUCCCUGCCCUUUGUACACACCGCCCGUCGCUCCUACCGAUUGGGUGUGCUGGUGAAAUGUUCGGAUCGGCCGUUUGUCGCGGUUUCCGCGUCAUGUGGCUGAGAAGUUCAUUAAACCCUCCCACCUAGAGGAAGGUGAAGUCGUAACA
rnacentral:rRNA from 1 species